ensembl:misc_RNA Metazoa_SRP Metazoan signal recognition particle RNA
GCUGGGCAUGCUGGUGCAUGCCUGUAGUCCCAGCUACUCAGGAAGCUGAGGCAGGGGGAUCGCUUAAGCUUAGGAGGUCAAGGCUGCAGUGGGCCGGGAUUGUGCCGCUGCAGUGAGCCGGGAUUGUGCCACUGCACUCCAGCCUGGGCGACAGAGCAAGACCCUGUCUCAA